rnacentral:tRNA from 1 species
AGAUAGAGAGCUUGAUUAGUUAAGCAACUUGUUUACAUCGAGUGGAUAUUUGUGCGAGUCAAAUUCUAUUUA